GUAAGGAAUAUUGGACAAUGGGGGAAACCCUGAUCCAGCCAUGCCGCGUGAGUGAAGAAGGCCUUCGGGUUGUAAAACUCUUUCAGAUGUGAAGAUGAUGACGGUAACAUCAGAAGAAGCUCCGGCUAACUUCGUGCCAGCAGCCGCGGUAAUACGAAGGGAGCGAGCGUUGUUCGGAAUCACUGGGCGUAAAGAGUGCGUAGGCGGUUAUACCAGUCAGGAGUGAAAUCCCAGAGCUUAACUUUGGAAUUGAGUUUGUAACUGUAUAGCUAGAGUCCCGGAGGGGUUAAUGGGAUUCCGAGUGUAGAGGUGAAAUUCGCAGAUAUUCGGAGGAACACCAGUGGCGAAGGCGAGUAACUGGUCGGGCACUGACGCUGAGGCACGAAAGCGUGGGGAUCAAACAGGAUUAGAAACCCGGGUAGUCC
rnacentral:rRNA from 1 species